rnacentral:rRNA from 1 species
AACGAACGCUGGCGGCAUGCCUAACACAUGCAAGUCGAACGAGACCUUCGGGUCUAGUGGCGCACGGGUGCGUAACGCGUGGGAAUCUGCCCUUGGGUUCGGAAUAACAGUUAGAAAUGACUGCUAAUACCGGAUAAUGUCUUCGGACCAAAGAUUUAUCGCCCAGGGAUGAGCCCGCGUAGGAUUAGCUAGUUGGUGAGGUAAAGGCUCACCAAGGGCGACGAUCCUUAGCUGGUCUGAGAGGAUGAUCAGCCACACUGGGACUGAGACACGGCCCAGACUCCUACGGGAGGCAGCAGUGGGGGAAUAAUUGGGACAAUGGGCGAAAAGCCUGAUCCAGCAAAUGCCGCGUGAAGUGAUGAAGGCC